rnacentral:misc_RNA from 1 species
UCGUACAACGGAGGUGCGAGGGCUGUCGCUGUCCUUUGAAGGUCGUGCACGCUCGAGCGCUCUCUCACAUCCAUCUCACCCCUUUGUGCAUCGCCGCGUGGGCCCCCUCUUUGCGGAGAGGGUCUGCGUUUUCACAUAAAACUCGAUACGGUGUAGAAUGUCUUUUUGCGGUCACACGCAACCAAUA